rnacentral:rRNA from 1 species
UACGUAGGGACCGAGCGUUGUCCGGAAUCAUUGGGCGUAAAGAGCGUGUAGGCGGCCGAUCAAGUUCCGCGUGAAAUCUCACGGCUCAACCGUGAGCAGCCGUGGAAAACUGGUCGGCUAGAGUGCGGGAGAGGAGAGUGGAAUUCCUGGUGUAGCGGUGAAAUGCGCAGAUAUCAGGAAGAACACCCGUGGCUAAGGCGGCUCUCUAGUACGGUACUGACGCUGAGACGCGAAAGCGUGGGGAGCGAACAGG